rnacentral:rRNA from 1 species
UGCAGCAACGCCGCGUGCGGGAUGACGGCCUUCGGGUUGUAAACCGCUUUUAGUAGGGAAGAAGGGCUUCGGCUUGACGGUACCUGCAGAAAAAGGACCGGCUAACUACGUGCCAGCAGCCGCGGUAAUACGUAGGGUCCGAGCGUUGUCCGGAAUUAUUGGGCGUAAAGAGCUCGUAGGCGGUUUGUCGCGUCUGCUGUGAAAUCUGGAGGCUCAACCUCCAGCCUGCAGUGGGUACGGGCAGACUAGAGUGCGGUAGGGGAGAAUGGAAUUCCUGGUGUAGCGGUGGAAUGCGCAGAUAUCAGGAGGAACACCGAUGGCGAAGGCAGUUCUCUGGGCCGUAACUGACGCUGAGGAGCGAAAGCGUGGGGAGCGAACAGGAUUAGAUACCCUGGUAGUCCACGCCGUAAACGUUGGGCGCUAGAUGUGGGGACCUUUCCACGGUUUCCGUGUCGUAGCUAACGCAUUAAGCGCCCCGCCUGGGGAGUACGGCCGCAAGGCUAAAACUCAAAGGAAUUGACGGGGGCCCGCACAAGCGGCGGAGCAUGCGGAUUAAUUCGAUGCAACGCGAAGAACCUUACCAAGGCUUGACAUAACCGAGAACGCCCUAGAAAUAGGGAACUCUUUGG